AAAAAAAAAGGCACAACUAAAUAAUUUAAAAGUAUCAUAAUCAUAUGAAGUAUGUUCUCUGAUCCCACCAAUUAAAACUCAAUUACGGUAAGAUUUCAGGAAAGUUCAAAUAUUUGGAAAAUAAACUCAAUUUACUAAACAACUCAGAGAUGUAAGUAACGACAAGAAAAAUUAGAAAAUCACUUUGGCCUGCACAACAGUAAAAACAUAUCAUCAAAAUUCGUGGGAUGCAGAUGAAGCUGUACCUGGAGGGACAUUGAUAGUAUUAAAUACUUGUAUUAGAAACAAAGAAAUGCAUGUGAGAACAAAGAUCUAAGCAUCUACCUUAAAAAGUCAGAAUAAGAGCAAAUUAAACCCAGAGUAAGAAGAAAGGAAAUCAUAGCCAUAAGACCAGAAAUCAAUGAAACAAGAAAGGGACAAACAACAUAAUUUAAUUAAUGACAUCAAAAGGGGGCCCUCCAAAAUGAACAGUAAAAUGAAUAAAUCUCGAUCUAGAUUGAUCAAGAAAAAACAAAAUACAAAUCACCAACAUCAGGCAUGAGAGGAGACCACUAGAAAUUCUACAAGCAUAAACUUCUUUCAAAAAACUCCAGGCCCAGAUGACUUCACUAGUGGGUUCUACCAAACAUCUGAAGAAAAAAGAAAACCCAAAAUCUUCCAAAAUACAGAAGAGAAGGGAAUACUAUGUAACUUAUUCUAUAAAAAUGGUAUUACCAAGAUACCCAGAUACCCAAACCAGACAAAAAUGUCUCAAAAAAAGAAUAUCCCUUAUGAAUAUAGACAGAAAAACCUUCAACAAAAUAUUAGCAAACACUCUGACAACAUAUAAAAAGGAUUAUAUACCAUGAUCAAGGUCAUACAAAAUUGGUUUCAUAUGUGAAAAUCAACCAAUGUAAUAUACUAUAUUAGAAUAAGAAACAAAAACCACAUGAUCACUUCACAAGUGCAGAAAAGCAAAUGACAAAAUCCAACAGCCUUUCAUAAUGAAACACUCAGUAAACUAGGAAUAAUAACUUAAUAAGGGCCAUCCUGAGAAACCCACAGGUAACAUCAUACCCAAAGGCAAGACUGGAUGCUUUCCCCUUAAGAUCAGGAAUAGAUAAGGAUCCCCACACUCCCCUUCUAUUCAACAUUGUACUGGAGGUUCUAGCCAGGGCAAAUAGGUAAGAAAAAUAAAUAGAAAGAACCCAGACUAGAAAGAAAGGUCAUUUAUUUAGGAAACAAAGGGGAAACAUUAAAGGUGUACAGGCUUGACACAUUCAAAGCUGUGUCUGCUCCUCGGUGCAUUGCUGCUCGGGCGCCGCAGCCCGCAGCCGCCAGCCUCCCCCGGCCGUGCCCCUCCCCCGUGGAGCCGGCUGUCGGUCGGCGCCCACUGACAAUAUAUAGUCUAAUAUAUAGACUAGGAAAUCAACUCUGUUUUUACAAAAGUCUUAAAAACAUGCUCUAAAAACAAAUGGCAAAGGUUAUUACUGGUACCACUGUUUUUUUCCCCCCUGCACAGUUAAUAAUUUUAUCCUGAUAAGCUUGGAGGAGCUACCAUCAGGCCUGUUUUCGAGUGAGAUCAAGACUUAGAGGUGGAGUGAAGUCUGUGCUAGUCGGACCUGAAUGAAGGCCUGCUUUGAGUUGUCAGAUAGGAAGGGGCCAGGGCAGUUUUUCCCUAUUCCUGUAAAAGGGGGAUGGGGUGGGGGGGAGUGUACUUUUUUGUUGCCUAAUUAAGGUAUAUCCCUUUAUAUCUACUUAAGUUAGUCUCCCUGGAGGAAAAGGGAUUCACACCAAAACCUGCCCAACUAACCUUCAUGAGUCCUGCGAUGCCUGGCUCUUUGCAGUUGCUAUGGUAGAAGAAGGCUUCUUCUCCCAGCUUCAUGGCUCUAAGGAAGUUCCGAGCCUGUCUCGGGAGAAGAAAGAGUAACUAUCCUCCCACCAGCUGGAAAGUACUAGCUUUUAGCAGAAAUCAAGUCUGCUUUUAAUAGAUGGGUGAUUCUUGUCUGCAACUCCUCGAUUCAUUAGAAAGUCCUUCCCCUUUGCCAGGACACCCAGACUUUUACCAGGACAUUGGCCAGAACACAGGCCAAUUGAAAAUUUCAUGCAGAGUACUUCAGGCAUUUUUUAAUACAUUAUCAGGUUUGCUUCUGAGAAAAAGCAGCCUUGGCCAAGAGGUUCUGCUACCGAGUAAGUCAUGAGGACGAGGCAGGCAUUCAUCCCACCUGGGUCUCAGGGGACCUCCUCCUUACCCUCUUACCUGG
rnacentral:lncRNA from 1 species